CGCGGCGGCAAGGAAGCGAGAGAGGACUCGCUUUUCCCUUAUCGCUCUCCAUUUCUCUUUUCUCCGCGCGUUCGCUUUUCAGUUGCUUGGAGGAACGCACACUUUUUCGAUUUUUUCGGCCAGAUUUUUUCUGCUCGAAGCCUACGCGUGGAUCCUGAAUGGACCCUCUCUUUUUCCAGGGAACAGAAAGCCUUCAUCAUACGCUUUUUUAAGCAGUUGUCUCCGCCUUUGUUUGCUCUCUUCUUUGCCUUCGCCUUCUCUCUCUCGGCCGCCUGCUACUUUUCCUCUCUUCCCCGUCUCUGUGUUUCUGACUGUACGUGCGUCUUUUGUCGUCGCUUGCCCUUGCCGAUGUCGCCUGUCCCGCUCCCGUCCCGGCAGUGUUCUCACCGCUCUUUCCCCGUUUGAUUCGCCCCUUCGGCGUUUUCCCCUCGUAGUUUUUGUUAGAGAAAACGGGCCUUUUUUCUUUUUCUUCUCUCAUGGAGAAGACCCCGGCGUGCGGCGGGUGUGGCGGAGGCGAGAGACGGGAAAAACACGGAGAGGCGGCGCGGGGACUAAACAGUGAACUGGGAGUCGCAGCACACGAGGUGAAGACGCUGAAGCCUGGACGCGCGGUGUACGUACAGCAGGGGGACAUCUUCAUCGAGAGCGAUCCGCAGAAGGCCCUCGCCUUCUUAGAACGGAGACGACAGCAAGUGGAGAAGAACGCAGCGUGAAACGCGGCUUCUCAACAGUUGUUCUGCAUAUUGAACACCCACGGGAUUGAUAACGCGACUUCGAGAUCGCUAAAGAGAAAGCGAGUGCCGACCCGCCGAAGUUUUCUCUCGAGUGUAUGGACACCUGGUGGACGUACGCUCCCGAUGGACUUUUCGCUCACAAAAGGAGUUGCGCUGCUGGGUUCUUCGUGACCAGCGUGUUUUUUGAUGUGUGGAGUUCAGCACAUCUUUCCAAGAGCGUCUUCGUUUCAAGGUUUAGACGUUCGAGAUGAACAACUGGAAAAGGCAGAAAAUUCACUGGUAGUAAAGAUGGUGGGAGGACGAGACAGAAAACUCGUGAACUGUGGUUGAGAUAGGGUGAGGUGAAAGAUGAGGUGCGGAGAGAGACGUCGAGAAGGCCUUCUCGAUGCCUUCCAGUGCGGGUCCUCUUGCGGCUCUGUCCCGAGAAUAUUUCAGUUUUUCUUGGAGGCAGUGUGGGAAAGACAGGUUUUCUUGACAGAGACUCUGAUCUUCAGUCGUUUUGCCA
rnacentral:lncRNA from 1 species